rnacentral:lncRNA from 1 species
GGUAUGUGGUAGGUGUGGUUCGAGGGGGCAGGGGAUAAAUGAUGGUCGGUGGGGGUGAAAGCAUGUUAGGUGAGACUAUGAGAAGUACAUGACUCAAUUAAUAUCAAGAGUUUUGCUACAGAUACUCGGAGUUUGAUACUUCAGGCUACCUGCUACUCACAUGGGGGUUGGAGGCUCCACGCCAAUAAAUGUAUAGAGCCCGACCUCCUCACUCACAUCAGGUGACUGGAGUGUCAAACUCCGAGCACAAAUAACAAACCUCUAAUAUCAAUUAUAUGAGAGAAAUCCAAGAAGACACUCCGAGUACAAAUAACAAAACUCUAAUAUCAAUUAUAUGAGAGAAAAUCCAAGAAAAGCCAUAUAUACAGGUCGGUUCU